rnacentral:rRNA from 1 species
UACAGAGACUGCAAGCGUUAUUCGGAUUCACUGGGCGUAAAGGGUGCGCAGGUGGCCAAGUGUGUUAGGCGUGAAAGCCCGGGGCUUAACCCCGGAAUUGCACCUAAAACUACUUGGCUAGAGCAUUGGAGAGGGGAGCAGAAUUCAUGGUGUAGCAGUGAAAUGCGUAGAUAUCAUGAGGAAUACCAGAGGCGAAGGCGGGUCUCUGGGCCGGUACUGACGCUGAGGAGCGAAAGCGUGGGGAUCAAACAGG